CCUGGACUCAGGUUAAAGGAUUCCCAGAA
rnacentral:piRNA from 1 species